AGUGAACGCUGGCGGCAGGCCUAACACAUGCAAGUCGAGCGGCAGCGGGUCCCCGCGAGGGGAUGCCGGCGAGCGGCGGACGGGUGAGGAACACAUCGGAAUCUGCCUGGUUGUGGGGGAUAACGUAGGGAAACUUACGCUAAUACCGCAUGCGACCCUGAGUCGACGGACUUGGGGUGAAAGUGAGGGACCUUCGGGCCUCACGCGACCAGAUGAGCCGAUGUCGGANAGUCUAGUUGGCGGGGUAACGGCCCCGCCAAGGCGACGAUCCGUAGCUGGUCUGAGAGGAUGAUCAGCCACACUGGGACUGAGACACGGCCCAGACUCCUACGGGAGGCAGCAGUGGGGAAUCUUGGACAAUGGGCGCAAGCCUGAUCCA
rnacentral:rRNA from 1 species